rnacentral:misc_RNA from 1 species
GGUCCACAAAAGUCUCCUUGUCAUACUUUCGGGUGUAAGUGUGGACAAACAACUCAGUUGGAGUUGGUUUUUGACCCAAUUAUUUUUUCUAAACAAAAGAUAAAUAGUUUUCACUAAACAUUAUUAUAUGUAUGUAUAUAAUAAAUUAUUGAAAUUUAUUAUGAAAUGAAAAUAAAAACCGCCAGAGUUUUCCCCAUAUUUUGACAUUUCUCCCUAUCUAGAAUCAAUAAAAAUCUCACAAUUCAAUCACACAACAAUCUACAAUAUUUUUCAUGACAAUUUUAUCAAAUUACAUCUUAUUUACAUUAACAACCAUCCACAAUAUUUUUUUCUUUAUAUGAAAAUACUAACCAAUUUAUCAGACCAUUCAGCAUAUGUUAUGGAUCCACCUGUGUGGGUGGAUGGUCCAAGAGCAUUUGUAACACCACAGCAAUUUCUAAAAUAUAUCUCUGACCACCGAAUGACCUCAGGGUCAUUCCAGUGCUGCUCAAAAUUUGCCCAGGUUUCUUUAGAAAUGUAUAAGGGCCUUUUCCUAAAAUUCUUUAAAUCUAUGAUCAUGUCCUUAUAGCGUACAGUUGCCUUUGAUCUCCAUGCAGCCUUUAUCCCUGCUUCUUCGAAAGUAUUUUUUCUUCAAUUCUUCCCAGUAAAAGUCUUUUGUCUCCUUUGAUACAGCCUUCCAGUUGACACCCUCAGUGUCGAACCAUUGCUUAAAGGUAUUUGUAAUCAUGCAAGCGAUCGUAGAUCCACCCAAUAACUCGCCAUCACAAAGUUGUAACCUUCGUCCCCUUAAAGAAUCAAUCUCCACUUUAGAGGAUGGAAGAGAAUCAUGUGAGCUAAGAACUAUAGACUCAUGUAAUGACCCUGGUGCAUCUUCCAUGCCAUCCACAGGUGCAGCCUCUUGGCUAGCCACUAGUGUAUUGAACUACACUGACAGCUGUGACUGAAGUGUCAAAGGCUCGCCUCCUUCAGAUGGCACAGGUGUUCCCAUGUUAACAUCACGAGAAGCACCUGCUCUGUGUCCGCUCCUAACCAUACAAUAAUUUGAGAGGUAAGCUUCGUGGACUACAACAACAGCACAACGAUUUCGACGAGCAGCAACACAAAGACUCAUAGUCGCUCCAUGGCUGCAGCAAGCAUCGAAGGCGAGAGAGAAAAUGGGGAAUCAUUCACCACCAGAGAUAGAGGAUGGGGAAUCGUUCACCACCGGAGAGCCAGGACAGGGAAUCAAUACCAAAGCCAAAGAAUCCAAAAGGCUGAGAGGGAAAUAAUCGUGGGGCAGCAGUGAAUUAGGCAGAGAUUGAAAUUUUGAGGG